rnacentral:rRNA from 1 species
AACGAACGCUGGCGGCAGGCUUAACACAUGCAAGUCGAGCGCCCCGCAAGGGGAGCGGCAGACGGGUGAGUAACGCGUGGGAAUCUACCCAUCUCUACGGAAUAACGCAUGGAAACGUGUGUUAGUACCGUAUACGUCCUUCGGGAGAAAGAUUUAUCGGAGAUGGAUGAGCCCGCGUUGGAUUAGCUAGUUGGUGGGGUAAAGGCCUACCAAGGCGACGAUCCAUAGCUGGUCUGAGAGGAUGAUCAGCCACACUGGGACUGAGACACGGCCCAGACUCCUACGGGAGGCAGCAGUGGGGAAUAUUGGACAAUGGGCGCAAGCCUGAUCCAGCCAUGCCGCGUGAGUGAUGAAGGCCCUAGGGUUGUAAAGCUCUUUCACCGGUGAAGAUAAUGACGGUAACCGGAGAAGAAGCCCCGGCCAACUUCGUGCCAGCCGCCGCCGUAACAC